UUAUUAUUAACUAUUAUAUGUUUUAUAAUUUUUAACAUUAAUUUUUUUUAAGUGUCAUUAUUAGUGUCUAACACUGUGACAACUGCAUCAUUAUCUGGUACUACUUCAACAUCAUCAUCAUCUGAUAUGACUGCAACUGCAGUGACAUCUGGUACUACUACAAUUGCCUCACCAUCUGAUACUACUACAACUGCAUUGACAUCUGGUGGUACUACUACAAUUG